UUGAGGCCAAGCAGACCAUUUGAGGUAAGAAAACCUAUUCAAAGUUUGAAGGUUGGAUUUAGAAAGCUUGUAUUUUGAUCUAGAAUUUGGAUUAAAAAAAAAUAUGUAAUUUGAAUUUUUGAUGGAAGAGAUAUCGUUGUUUGAAGUUAAAGUGUGAAUUUGAUACCUAUUAUUAUUCUUUUAAGCAUAUAAAGAAUUGUAA
rnacentral:lncRNA from 1 species